rnacentral:lncRNA from 1 species
GAAAACCAUUAGUAUAGUUGUGACAGACCAAGCUGUAAGGUUGCGUUCAGCAUGUUGCGUCUGAUGAGGGCUGAAGUGAAGUAAGCCGAAACGCGUAACGCAAAAUAUGCUGUUUUUGUCUGUUGUCACCGAGAAAAGCCAAUAUAUAAUAUCAAA